AUAGCCGUUUCAUGUUGCGUUCGGGACGCAAAGGCCGCAGGUUCGAAUCCUGUCAUCCCGACCA
rnacentral:tRNA from 1 species